rnacentral:other from 1 species
AAGUUACUGAGAUGUGCGAUAUCCUGUUGUUUUUGAACCUACAUUACUUUAACGGGAAUCCCAUAAACGAAGAAUAUGUCAGGCCUCUUACUAAUUCCCUUUGGGCUGAGGAAGGCAGAGUUUUAGUUGCGGAUACCCACCUGGCUACGGCUAGGUGUCAAAAGGCAGGACUCGGCAUCUUGGUUCUAU